CAUCGUCCUCCCUCAGCUCCUUUCCCAUCCCCGGAUCUGCGUGCCCAAAUGUUUUAGCAGGCAGAUCGCCACAGAAAUGACCAUUUUUUACUAUUAUUUACCCACUUUUCACCCCCAGAAAGGCAUCGAGUGAUCACUCUCUGCCUGACCCCCUAAACAAACGCCCCUUCCCACCUGAGCUGGACAUUUGCAGGCAGCCAGAGCGGCCCGAGGACCGAGAUGAGUAAUUCCCAUUAAAGUGGGGAAAGAGCCUUUUUUCCCCGAGCUGAAGGAAUAAACGGCAUUGAUGGGAAAUGUUGUCCUCAUCCCCCGCCCCCUCCCCCUGCCUAUCUGCAUGGAAUACCCUCCCGAACGUGGAUUUUUUAAGGUCUCAUUGUUCGGCGAGAGGGUUGAGAUUAUUUUUGUAGGGUUUUUUCUUUUUUUUUUAAUUUUUUUUUUUUUUGGGGAGGGUUUUCCCUGCUCCUGCCGGGGAUGCAGAGCCCGGCCGCUGCAGGUGCUGCUCCUCACGCUGGGAAUCUCCAGUUCUCCUAAGUUUGGGAAUGGAGAGCUGGGUCAGAGCACAACACCCACUGAGCAGUGGGGUUUUUCCAGCCCUUUCUUGCUUUAUUUUCAGGCUCAGAGCUCUGGGAUGCUCCCACCCAGGGCUGCUCAGGCUGUUCCUGCAGCUCUCCUUUAAUCUUGAGCACCUUCAGUGUCGUUAGCAGCUCCAACCUUCCAGCCACUGGCUGUUCCUAAAAAGCUAAAUAAACUCAGUUCCUCCGAGCCCAAAAAGCAGCGAGGAUAUUUUGCCUUUGGUGUCACUAAUUAGCCUCCCACGGAAGCUGAGAUCAGGAGAAAGGGACAUAAGGAGAGAGUUCGUGCAGCCUUGCAGGACUCUGAGCAUAUUCUACAGGAGGGGGGAAAGAAAUAUUUAUCUCUCAGCCCCAAACUCGGUGAAACCGCUUCAUUUUCGGAGUUUCCCGCACUCCGAAAUGCGGGCUGGAUAAUUUCUGCAAAUUCAAUUAGAGUUUGGAGCCCGUGGCCACUCUGAUCAGAUCUGUGUAAAUAACAUUGUCCCCAGCCUGUGUUGUCACCUCUGAAAUGCUCUCUGGAUCGCAGCCUAGCUCUGUCUUUUCUUGUGCUGGAGUCAGGGUGGUGCUGGAUUUCGGAGCUUUUUGCAUUUUAUUGCUCUUGAUUUUUUUUUUAUUUAAUUUUUUUUAGGUUUUUUUUUGGUUUUGUUUUGUUUCUUUUCUAGUCCGUUUUGAUUCUGACAGUUUUUAAAGGUGAGGCUCAUUUUUUGUGAGGUUAAGAAGAAGGAGAGAGUAAAAGGUACCGUAUCUUUCUUCUUAAUUGUUUGGCUUAAGUCUGAAACAUCUGAAAAAACACCCUUAAAAUGAUCUUAGAAGUAACAGUCGCUUAAU